UCGGGUAAUCUUCUUGGGCGCUAAAUCCACAGCCCGACAGAUGCACAAUUGUGGUGUCCGCUCGAUCACCUGACAGCAGCGAGAAAGAGGCGGCUUCUCGGAGGAACUGGGUAAGGAGGUCGACGAGAGGAAGGUAUGGAACAGCUGAGGUGCGAGUGAGAUAUUGGCUGUAGUCAGCGACUGCUGGUGGCACUAGCCAAGACGAUGACCUACUCCCUCGUACUUCCUCCGAAGUAAUAAUCCCCUAUCAAUUUUUAUAGAGGUGGCAUUGUCAGACGUUGCUGGACAAAAUAUGCUAUGAUGGUUUUGAGAAUAUCAAAGUUCUCUGCAGUUGUUGCAGAAAUACAUGCUAUGCUUUGGAUGAAAGACUAUUGUGUCUCUCAAUGGAAACAAGCCAGAUAUCUAGGUAUGUCUUCAAAAUUGCAUGGUGUGGAUACAUUAUGAGUGAGAUGAUAAUGCAAACACAUACCACUUCAAGAAGUGAGUUUGGCCAUAAAUAAUGCAACCUUUUGAGGGAGAACUAUCUUCGAGAAAUGAGUUUGGUCAGGCUGUCGCUUAGUUGGAUUUUUUUUUUUUUGAAGCUUAGUUGGAAUCUUUACCUGAAUCACCCAAAAUAUGAUAUUGAAGAGAACUUUGUACACAUCUACCUGAUAUGUGCAUAUUUCAAAAGUUGAUUCUUUCACUUGGUUUACUUCAUCAUUCAUAUGCAUAAAUGAUGUAAGGGAGAUAAAUGGACAAUCCUAGACUGUUUAGCUGAC